rnacentral:tRNA from 1 species
CGAAUCAUAAAAAAUCCUUUAAA